rnacentral:misc_RNA from 1 species
AUUUGUAUAAGAGACAGGUGAGUCAUCGAAUCUUUGAACGCAACUUGCACCCUUUUUGGGUAUGUCUGUUUGAGUACCGUAAAUAAAUAUUCUCCUUGGAGGAUGAGUUGAGGCGUAUGCAUCAGUUAAAUGAUGAAUUGCCUUUAAAUUGAGCAAGUGGGCGGAAUAGGCCUUUUCAUGUGCUAGGGACUUUUAGUCUUGUCAUGAACAAAACCUAAACUAGCCAAUUAACAAUUUUUGAAUUUGGUCUCAAAUCAGGCAAGAUUACCCGCUGAACUUAAGCAUAUCAAUAAGCGGAGG